AACGAACGCUGGCGGCAUGCCUAACACAUGCAAGUCGAACGGGAUCCGGACUUCGGUUCGGUGAGAGUGGCGGACGGGUGAGUAACGCGUGGGAACCUGCCCAGUGGUGGGGGAUAACUGCGGGAAACUGCAGCUAAUACCGCAUGAACCCGAGAGGGGCAAGAUUUAUCGCCAUUGAAGGGGCCCGCGUUCGAUUAGGUAGUUGGUGAGGGAAUGGCUCACCAAGCCGACGAUCGAUAGCUGGUCUGAGAGGAUGAUCAGCCACACUGGGACUGAGAUACGGCCCAGACUCCUACGGGAGGCAGCAGUGGGGAAUAUUGGACAAUGGGGGCAACCCUGAUCCAGCAAUGCCGCGUGAGUGAUGAAGGCCUUCGGGUUGUAAAGCUCUUUUGCCAGGGACGAUGAUGACGGUACCUGGAGAAUAAGCCCCGGCUAACUUCGUGCCAGCCGCCGCCGUAAUAC
rnacentral:rRNA from 1 species